GAAAUGCGAUAAGUAGUGUGAAUUGCAGAAUUCAGUGAAUCAUCGAAUCUUUGAACGCACAUUGCGCCCCUUGGUAUUCCAUGGGGCAUGCCUGUUCGAGCGUCAUUUGUACCCUCAAGCUCUGCUUGGUGUUGGGUGUUUGUCCCCGUCUCCGCGCGUGGACUCGCCCCAAAGUGAUUGGCGGCCGGCGUACUGGUCCCGGAGCGCAGCACAUGUCGCGCAAACGAGUGCCUUGGUACGGCGGCGUCCAUAAGCCCCUCUCUCACGCUCUUGACCUCGGAUCAGGUAGGGAUACCCGCUGAACUCAAGC
rnacentral:misc_RNA from 1 species